rnacentral:rRNA from 1 species
UACGUAGGCAGCAAGCGUUGUUCGGAGUUACUGGGCGUAAAGGGUGUGUAGGCGGUUGUUUAAGUUUGGUGUGAAAUCUCCCGGCUCAACUGGGAGGGUGCGCCGAAUACUGAAUGACUAGAGUGCGGGAGAGGAAAGUGGAAUUCCUAGUGUAGAGGUGAAAUUCGUAGAUAUCAGGAGGAACACCUGCGGUGUAGACGGCUUUCUGGACCAUUGCUGACGCUGAGACACGAAAGCGUGGGUAGCAAACAGG